UCAGUGUCUAGCCACUAGGUUGGUGGACAUGUUUGCUCGACUCUGCAAUCUUUUGGGGAGAGCCAGUGUGGAUGGGAGAGGGAACAGAGAUAGGAGGAAGGAUGCUGGCCUUCCAUCUGAGAGUAAUGAAGGACGAAGGAGGUGGACUUGGAGAAUGUGGAGGGCUCCCAGAAAGAUAUCACCCACUGUACCUGACCUAAGUGAGAAGGAGUUCAAAAUGGAAAUGGAGAGGCUGACCACAGAGCUGCACCUUAUUACCCAGAAGAGGACCAGGCCCUUCCAGAA
rnacentral:lncRNA from 1 species